rnacentral:lncRNA from 1 species
UACCGUCUUUGUAAUAUUUGUUGUGAAGGCGAUGAACCAUUCACCGCCUUCACGGCAAAACCCCACACUGCCGCCUUUCCAAGUCCGCCUUUCCUGUGCCCUCGAGAAUGUUAGAAAAUUGCGUACGGUAAAAACGCAGCGGAAAAAGAAAUCAAACAAAUUUGAUUUUGAAAACUCUCGAGAUCCAAUAUCAAAAACCACGCAAUUAGGAUCCCUCAUAUUCUUUAAGAUUAAAGAAGAAAAGUAAGAUCGAAUCUUUAUUUUUUUUGCGGAUAGAUUUUCACCAUAAUUUGAUGAUCGUGGAAUUGGGUUCUCUUGAAGCUGCACACGCGUUCGGCCUCUAUAGGUAUCCACACGAGAUUCUUGAUUUGAUUGAUGUCCUCACCGGCAUGCUAGCUCCCUUGCAAAUGGACGUCUUUUUGCUGGAAGAUGAAAGAGAGACGAGAAGAGAGAUAACGGUUAGGGUUUUCUAAAAGCUUCCAUAUAUUAUAUAGAGGAAUAUAAUCAUCUUUCUAAUAAUAUAAUGACAAUUAAGGAUAAGUACAAAUCUAGAUUUAAAUUUAUUGUUUCCUUAAUUGGUUAGAUCGAUCAAAUCUUAAUUUGAUUCGACUUAAAUUUUAUCUUAACUUGAUCAUACCAAAUUAAUAAUGCAAUAUUUACACAUAAGUCCUCUUAUAAUUUACUAACUAUUAGUAAAUCCUCUCUAGUAACAUUUACACUUUAUUACCACUAAUUUGUAACAAUUACAAAUUAGUCCAAUUAUUAACAUAUUGACAAUUAGGUUUUCCAACGAUUCAAUAAUCACGAUCUAGCCAUCCGAUCAAUCACAGCCUCUUAUGUGUGUGACCCCAUAGGUUCUAUUCUAUUUGGUAGUGAGAUAUAUUUUGAUCACUAUCAACAAUAUCACUGAAACUCCUUUCAGUGGAUCGGAACAAUUUCAACUCAGCCCAAUAAGAAUUAUCGAUCAUCUAGAUAAUUCUCAUGAGUUCGACAAUCUACCAGUGACGUCUAGCAGCAUGUAGUGGCAUUUCAGUAGAAUGGAAUACUGAAUCUCUUGGUGCAGUUACCGUGUGAUACAAUCUUUCUAUUAUGAGUCCCUACUAGACGUAGGUUAUGGAAUAACUCGUCAAACCCUAUCGUCUGUCAUAUGUUAAAUUUAUUCUACUCGAGUUUCUAAUAUCGGAAAUCCUUUUCCGCUAUUAACUCUGCCCUGGCCAAGGUUUUCAAAAUUCGGUCUCAUAAAUCACAUAGGGCUAACACCCAUCUACCAAGGGAGAUAGAUUCUAUCUAAGUGCACACCCUAUUCCUACAAUGAACCUACUCCAGCCAACAUGCACCGCAAGGACCCGAAUGGCUAGGGACCAAGCGGAUGUACAGUCAAACUACAGUAACCUCAUUGUGAAUAGCCAAGGCACCGCAGGUCAAAGGACCAGUCACACUACUACAACAUUGAGUAAGUCAUUGACGAGUGAGUAGACAUCCAAGUGACUUCUCGCGUUGGUCAUGCUCGGUACCCUUGUUCUCUAACAAC